UUUGGCAGUGGGUAUCUCAAGUUCUCUCUUGACUUUAACUUAUUUGCCCUCUGUGUUUGAGAAAAACAGAUUCAGCCAACCAGGCCAAUGCUGACCUCCUGCCAGGCAUCCUUAGGGCAGUCACAGCUGUGUUAUUGAUCCUUGGAGGUGGACUGUACCUUUGGAAGAUACAUGAGAAGAAGAUGAAGACUGGAAGAGGCAGGUUCUCCUUCCAGGCCCACAUACCUCUCUUUCUUCACUGGAUUGUUGACAUCCUUUCUCCUACUAAAUGUCCCUGCAGAGGGGUUAAUGGGUGUGGCCAUCGUCUUUGUCCAUAGCUGUGGAAGAGGGUACAGAUUUCCAAGGCUCAGAUUCAAGCCACUCUGCCUAUCUCUCAGGUGCAAGAUCACAAGAGGAUGAUGAUGACAGCAUUCAGUAUGCAGCCAACAGGAAACUCUAGAGAGCUCGAACAAGGUUAUCAGGUCACUGAAAGAAAAGUGGCCUUUCACUACUAUCUACAGUGAGGUCUGUAAGCCAGGUCAUGCCAUGAAGAUAAUUUAAUUGGAGGAAACAGAAGAAUUGGCACUCCCUGGACACCUCCACCAGGAGCUUGAUCCCUGAAGCCACCCGCCUGUUCCACCUCUGGCCCAGUUCCAUCUGCCCUUUGUCCGUUACCUGGGCCUAUGUGGCCUUAUUACUUCCUCUGACACCUCUUCAAACUGCCCUCCUGUUUAGGAUCCUCACAGUCGCAGGAUGAGCACUCCUCCUCUGCCAUUGACUCAACUCCUGACCCCUCACCUUCUGAAGCUUUCCAAAGAAGACUUCUGACUGUGUUAAUCCCCACAGCCUCUGCUGUGUGGUUGGUGUGUGUGUUUCCUUAAGAGCAUGAGCCCAGGCAUGGGGACUGCGUGAUGGCCCAUGCCACAGAGGAGGGAGUUAUGACCUUGGUGUUGAGUGCUGAGUUGGGGGUCAAUGGAAGGAGUAUGGAUAGGUAUGAAUCUGGAAAGGACUGGCCUGAGGAUUCCGUUGCACCUUACAUAGAACAAAGAGUGUGUAUCAAGCAGUACACUUGUACUGGGAAGAAUGUCUAGUGUAUCUUAUAACCUUCUUCUUGGUUACUUGUGUUAACCUGAACUUUGGCCUCAGUUUGGCCCAUGGGCCCCAAACCCACCUUCCUGUAAAGUGGGAAGAGGAAUUUGUAACUCUUCACCCCCUUCCAGGACUUAAUUUUCUCAGAAAAUAAUCCUAGAACCUA